rnacentral:rRNA from 1 species
UGGGGAAUUUUGGACAAUGGGCGAAAGCCUGAUCCAGCAAUGCCGCGUGUGUGAAGAAGGCCUUCGGGUUGUAAAGCACUUUUGUCCGGAAAGAAAUCCUCUGGGUUAAUACCUCGGGGGGAUGACGGUACCGGAAGAAUGAGCACCGGCUAACUACGUGCCAGCAGCCGCGGUAAUACGUAGGGUGCAAGCGUUAAUCGGAAUUACUGGGCGUAAAGCGUGCGCAGGCGGUUUUGUAAGACGGAUGUGAAAUCCCCGGGCUUAACCUGGGAACUGCAUUCGUGACUGCAAGGCUAGAGUAUGGCAGAGGGGGGUAGAAUUCCACGUGCAGCAGUGAAAUGCGUAGAGAUGUGGAGGAAUACCGAUGGCGAAGGCAGCCCCCUGGGCCAAUACUGACGCUCAUGCACGAAAGCGUGGGGGAGCAAACAGGAUUAGAUACCCUGGUAGUCCACGCCCUAAACGAUGUCAACUAGUUGUUGGGGAUUCAAUUUCCUUAGUAACGUAGCUAA